AUGGCAUCGUCAGUGCUGGAGGCCACACGAGCGGCGCACGAGGACAUCGAGCGGUUAGAACGCCUGGUGGUGCGCGAGCUGCAGCGAGAUCCCGCCAAUGCCCGUGACCGCCUCUUCCAGUCCCACCGCGUCCGCCACAUGCUCGACCUCGUCAUCUCCACCUCCGACAAGCUCGUUGAAAUCUACGAAGACAAGGACGGUGCUAGGAAGGAUGAGAUCUCCUCCCAUCUUACCGCGCCGGUGCAAAGCGACAUCUUCCCCAAGUACUAUGAAAGGCUCAAAGAGAUCCGUGAUUACCAUAGGCGGAAUCACUCUGCCCGUUUCAUCAGCGAAACUGACGAUUAUGAGGAGCUACUAAAGGAGGAACCGGCUAUUGAAUUCACUGGGUUGUUUGAUUCCUCUUGUAGGAUCACGGUGCUAUGCAUGGAGGCAUUUGGCCGGUACUUGGACUUACAUGAGCUCUACAAUGAGUUCAUAAAUUCCAAGUUUGGAUCGCUAAUGGAAUACUCAGCAUACGUUGGUACUUUUGCUCAGACUGAAAAAAUCUUGCAUAGUCUAAAAGCUACCAGGCAAUACAAAGAAUAUUUGGAGCAUAUUUUGGAAUACCUGAUGUCAUUUAUGUAUCGUACAGAGCCAUUGCAAGAUAUUGAUAAAAUUUUUACAAAGUUGCAAAGUGAGUUCGAAGAACAGUGGGCCAAUGGCGAAGUACCUGGAUGGGAGAAUAAGGGCACAGAGAAAAAAUCUGAAUCGCAAGAGUCUGCAGUAGACCUCGAUUACUACAAUAUUGUUGAAGAGCUUGUAGAGCUUGGUCCGGAAAAGUUGAAAGAGGCUUUAACUGCUCGUGGAUUGAAGGGUGGCGGCACUGUUCAACAGCGUGCUGAGCGCCUUUUCUUGCUGAAGCAUACACCCUUGGAACAAUUGGAUCGUAAGCAUUUUGCCAAAGGUGAUGAUUUGAAGAAGGAAAUUGCUUUGGUUGAAGUGAAGAUGAAGCGCUUAUGUGAGAUUCUCGAUGAGGUCAUUGUAAGAACAAAGGAAAAUGCGGAGAAGAAGCUGACUUUGACCUAUGAAGAAAUGGAAGCAGAACGGGAAGAAGAAGAAGUACAAGCUGAUAGUGAAAGUGAUGACGAAGACCAACAAAUCUACAACCCUCUCAAGUUACCAAUGGGUUGGGACGGGAAACCUAUCCCCUAUUGGCUCUAUAAGCUUCACGGUCUUGGUCAGGAAUUCAAGUGCGAGAUAUGUGGUAACCACAGUUACUGGGGGCGAAGGGACUAUGAGCGCCAUUUCAAAGAGUGGCGCCAUCAGCAUGGGAUGCGAUGCCUUGGUAUUCCUAAUACCAAGAACUUCAACGAAAUUACAUCCAUUGAGGAGGCGAAAGCACUGUGGGAGAGGAUACAAGCAAAGCAAGGGCUGAACAAGUGGCGGCCAGACUUGGAAGAGGAGUACGAAGACAAGGAUGGCAACAUCUACAACAAAAAGACGUACACUGACCUGCAGCGCCAAGGCCUGAUAUAG
rnacentral:rRNA from 1 species